ACAGAUCGUUCAGAGUUUGAUCCUGGCUCAGGAUGAACGCUAGCUACAGGCUUAACACAUGCAAGUCGAGGGGCAGCAUGAGGAUUGCUUGCAAUCUUUGAUGGCGACCGGCGCACGGGUGCGUAACGCGUAUCGAACCUGCCCUGUACACGGGGAUAGCCUUGCGAAAGCAAGAUUAAUACCCGAUGUUUUGGCGAUGCCGCAUGACAUUGUCAACAAAGAUUUAUCGGUACAGGAUGGCGAUGCGUCCCAUUAGCUAGUUGGCGGGGUAACGGCCCACCAAGGCAUCGAUGGGUAGGGGUUCUGAGAGGAAGGUCCCCCACACUGGAACUGAGACACGGUCCAG
rnacentral:rRNA from 1 species